UGUAAUCUCCGAAGUGCGAAAGAUGUGUCAGCAUCUCUGUCGCAUUCGGAAGAGGAGCACUUUUCCGAGGACGGUGACGAUGGAAGUUUAUUUGGAGUAUCUCAUAAUCAAGAUAAAAUGCUUUCAAAUUCCUCAUGAGGGGCCUGCACUGCAUACGCAGAGUAUGUGACGACCAUCGUGCACCUGCAUCUAUUGAAUGCGAGAGUUUUGCCGAGAACUAUGUAUUUCCUUGUAUUUUUUAAGUAUUAACAUAAUUUCUAGGACAAAUAAAUUGUUUUAUGCUA